UUACGGCUCAGUAACACGUAGCUAACCUACCUUAAGUCCGGAAUAACCUCGGGAAACUGAGGCUAAGUCCGGAUAGGAGAUUUUCUCUGGAAUGAGGUUUCUCUGAAACUCACGGCUUAAGGAUGGGGCUGCGUCUGAUUAGGUUGUUGGCGGGGUAAUAGCCCACCAAGCCGAUGAUCAGUAGGGGCUCUUAGCGGAGUCGCCCCGAGAGGGAGUCUGAGAUACUACUCCCAGCUCUACGGAGUGCAGCAGUUAUGAAUCUUUUGCAAUGCGCGCAAGCGUGACAAAGUGAACCAAAGUGUUUUUCGCACAGAAAAACUUUUGCCAGCUGUAAAAAGGCUGGCGAAUAAGGACUGGGCAAGACCGGUGCCAGCCGCCGCGGUAAUCCCGGCAGUCCAAGUCGCAGCCAGCAUUAUUGGGUCUAAAACAUCCGUAGCUUGUUUAUUAAGUUCCCUGUGAAAUCCUACAUCUCAAGUGUGGGGCUUGCACGGAAUACUGAUAAGCUAGAGACCGGAAGAUGUAAGGAGUACUCUCAAGGUAGUAGUAAAAUACGUUAAUCUUGGGCGGACUAACAAUUGGCGAAGGCACCUUACAAGUACGGAUCUGACAGUGAGGGAUGAAGGCUAGGGGCGCAAAAGGGAUUAGAUACCCCUGUAGUCCUAGCAGUAAACACUGCUCACUAAACAUCGGUCUCUCUUCGGGAGAAAUCGGUGCUGAAGCGAAGGCGAAGAGUGA
rnacentral:rRNA from 1 species